rnacentral:rRNA from 1 species
UACGGAGGGUGCAAGCGUUAUCCGGAUUUACUGGGUUUAAAGGGUGCGUAGGCGGAUAAUUAAGUCAGUGGUGAAAUCUUCAGGCUUAACCUGGAAACUGCCAUUGAUACUAUUUAUCUUGAAUACUUUGGAGGUAAGCGGAAUAUGUCAUGUAGCGGUGAAAUGCUUAGAUAUGACACAGAACACCGAUUGCGUAGGCAGCUCACAAAACUGUAACUGACGCUGAGGCUCGAAAGCGUGGGGAUCAAACAGG